rnacentral:rRNA from 1 species
GAUGAACGCUGGCGGCGUGCCUAAUACAUGCAAGUCGAGCGAACAGACGAGGAGCUUGCUCCUCUGACGUUAGCGGCGGACGGGUGAGUAACACGUGGAUAACCUACCUAUAAGACUGGGAUAACUUCGGGAAACCGGAGCUAAUACCGGAUAAUAUAUUGAACCGCAUGGUUCAAUAGUGAAAGACGGUUUUGCUGUCCCUUAUAGAUGGAUCCGCGCCGCAUUAGCUAGUUGGUAAGGUAACGGCUUACCAAGGCAACGAUGCGUAGCCGACCUGAGAGGGUGAUCGGCCACACUGGAACUGAGACACGGUCCAGACUCCUACGGGAGGCAGCAGUAGGGAAUCUUCCGCAAUGGGCGAAAGCUUGACGGAGCAUCGCCGCGUGAGUGAUGAAGGUCUUCGGAUCGUAAAACUCUGUUAUUAGGGAAGAACAAAUGUGUAAGUAACUAUGCACGUCUUGACGGUACCUAAUCAGAAAGCCACGGCUAACUACGUG